CCUACGGGAGGCAGCAGUGGGGAAUAUUGCUCAAUGGGGGAAACCCUGAUGCAGCCACGCCGCGUGAAUGAAGAAGGCUUUCGGAUUGUAAAGUUCUUUCAGCAGGGAAGAAAAUGACGGUAUCUAACUAAUAAGCACCGGCUAACUCCGUGCCAGCAGCCGCGGUAAUACGCAGGGUGCAAGCGUUACCCGGAAUUACUGGGCGUAAAGGGAGCGUAGACGGGAGAGCAAGUCUGAUGUGAAAUCCUAUGGCUUAACCAUGGAACUGCUUUGGAAACUGUUAGUCUGGAGUGCGGGAGAGGUAGGCGGAAUUCGUGGUGUAGGGGUGAAAUCCGUAGAUAUUAGGAGGAAUAC
rnacentral:rRNA from 1 species